rnacentral:rRNA from 1 species
CCUACGGGAGGCAGCAGUGGGGAAUAUUGCACAAUGGGGGAAACCCUGAUGCAGCAACGCCGCGUGAGUGAAGAAGUAUUUCGGUAUGUAAAGCUCUAUCAGCAGGGAAGAAGAAAGACGGUACCUGACUAAGAAGCCCCGGGUAACUACGUGCCAGCAGCCGCGGUAAUACGUAGGGGGCAAGCGUUAUCCGGAUUUACUGGGUGGAAAGGGAGCGUAGACGGCUGUGCAAGUCUGAAGUGAAAGCCCGUGGCUCAACCGCGGAACUGCUUUGGAAACUGUAUAGCUAGAGUGCUGGAGAGGCAGGCGGAAUUCCUAGUGUAGCGGUGAAAUGCGUAGAUAUUAGGAGGAACACCAGAGGCGAAGGCGACUCACUGGACUGUAACUGACGCUGAGGCUCGAAAGCGUGGGGAGCAAACAGGAUUAGAUACCCCGGUAGUC